UACGUAGGGCGCAAGCGUUGUCCGGAAUUAUUGGGCGUAAAGAGCUCGUAGGCGGCCUGUUGCGUCCGCUGUGAAAUCCCGGGGCUCAACCCCGGGCCUGCAGUGGAUACGGGCUGGCUGGAGGCAGGCAGGGGAGAACGGAAUUCCUGGUGUAGCGGUGAAAUGCGCAGAUAUCAGGAGGUACACCGGUGGCGAAGGCGGUUCUCUGGGCCUGUUCUGACGCUGAGGAGCGAAAGCGUGGGGAGCGAACAGG
rnacentral:rRNA from 1 species